AAUAAAUACUCCUUUAUCUUCAAUUAUAAAAAUAAAAAAAAUAAUCACCACUCUUCCCUUCAGUUUUAGUUUUUCUCUCUCGCCCUUUCAGGGCCUCAGCCAAUUAGUCUCUUUCUCUCUCUCCCUCUCCCAAAGACAAAGGCCUUUUGGCCUUUUCUCCUCUCUUAGACACUCAUCAAACACUUGAAGCAACAGUUUGCUCUUCUCUCUCGCCAUGGCCGACAGGGUGUAUCCUUCUACUAAACCUGCCACAAAUGGAGACACCACCGCGGCCACAACCAAACCUUCUUUUCCGGCCACCAAAGCCCAACUCUACGGAGCAGCCCGCCCUGCCUACCGUCCACAACCCCACCGCAAACGAAGCCGCCGUAGCUGUUGUUGUGCGUGUUGUCUCUGGCUGACCUUAAUCAUAUUCACUCUCCUCCUCCUUGCUGCCAUAGCUGGUGCCAUCAUCUACGUUCUCUACCAUCCCCAACGACCCACCUUCUCCGUCUCCGGCCUCAAAAUCUCCUCUCUCAACCUCACUUCAUCUUCCCAUCUCACCACCAACAUCAACCUGAACAUCACCACAAGAAACCCCAACAAGAAGCUGGUGUAUAUCUACAGCCCUGUCACAAUCUCUCUAACUACAGCUAAAGAUGGUAUCCAAAUAGGCAAUGGGUUGUUACCCUCUUUUGAACAUGGCACCAAGAACACAACCUUCCUGAAAGCUGCCAUUAGAAGCAGUGAUCAACAGCUAGAUGAUACCUCUGCUAGCCAAUUAAAGACAGAUUUCAAGAGCAAAAAUGGCUUGGCUUUGAAGAUAGAGUUGGAAACUAAGGUGAAAGUGAAGAUGGGAGGCUUGAAAACACCAAGAGUUGGGAUUAAAAUUUCCUGUGAAGGGAUUAAAACUAUUAUUCCUAACGGGAAAUCUGCAACUACAGCUUCAGUAUCUAAAGCAAAGUGCAAGGUUGAUUUGAAGAUCAAGAUCUGGAAAUGGACUUUCUAAAUGGAAUUGAUUGACUGAUUAAUUUCAACUCUUGAAUUUAGAGGAGAAAAAGAUUGAAAUUAUUUGUCAAGCGGUGGUAUAAGGAAGACAGAAAAUUUAUUUGUUAUAGAUUUGAAAUUUUUGUCAAUUUUUUUUUAUUUAUUUAAAAAAAUCAGUGAAUUGUUUUU